rnacentral:lncRNA from 1 species
UUGUUCCUCUUUCGCAUCGUUUCUUUUCCUCCGGCUAAUACCUCCAACGCCUGUACGUACAAUAAACAUAGCAGCAACUGCACAUAUACCUAUGUGACCAACUUCAAUUCGACGUAACUGCGAGCACCUUCGAUACUAAUACAUUUAAAUCCAAAACUUUAUAUAGUACCUUUAAACCCCACCCAUAAAAACCGCCAAAACUGUCCUCGUGUCUCCUGCAGCUAACAUCAAACUUAUAAAUAGUACAUACUGUUACAAAACCAGUAUCCGAACUAGUUAUACUAGUUCCCAUCUAUAAAUAAUACUACAAAUAGCAAACGGG